GGCACAAGCGACAGCAAAUGGAUUGCACUAGCGUAAAUGAAUGAUCUCUAUCGAAGAGUGGUCAUACGGCCAAUCGAGCUGUUGUAAUUUGUAGCAAUGUUGCAUGCUUAGUCUACGAAGCUCCGGGAAGCUUCCACGUUGAGGUCUCCAUCGCACCAUAUCGGUGUCUUCAAUUUGAAGUUCAAUAAGUUUCAAAAAACUCCCCGGUGUUAUGUCCCACUCUGGGCCUCGAAAUGCAUAUUGAUAUAACAUGAGAAUCUCGAGAUUUGGCAGCAGCGAACCAAUAUCAUUCAUAUAAUUCCAAGGAUACCCCCCUAACCCAGACAACAAUAACACUGUGAGACUUGAUGGAAACAUUGAAAGAGGAAUCGUAUUACACUCAUACUUUAUCUCAGGAUUAUUAACCCAAUAUGAGAGUUUCUCUAGAUUCAGGAGUUGGGAGAUAUAACCCAAGCAGCUCAAUGGGUUUCUUUCAUCAUCAUCAUCAUCAUCAUCAUAAGGCUUCAACUCCACUUCAAUCAUUAAUCUCUUUAAAUUAGGAAUUCUUUUGAGAACUUCCCUAGUAAAACUGUUUGCACUCACACAAUUAAGUGUCAUGAGUUUGUUCAAGGCAGCAUCAUCAGUAUUAGGGGUUGGUAUGUCCCUUCCCAAAUCUCAGAUCUUCUAGUUCUUGCAUGUCCCAAAUUUGCACAGGCAUAUAAGACUGAACUCCACGCUUUUUAAUGUAUAUAUGUGGAUUGAUAAUCAAGAAUUGAAGGUGAAAAAGGUUGGAUAUGGAAGGAGGGAGUUCCCCGUUGCAUUUAAGGGAAAGGUAACGCAGACAAACAAGUUUCAAAAUUUCAAUUGGGAUAUGGUAAAAUCGAACUCCAAGAGCAUAUAGUACCCUGAGCAACUUGAAACCCAUGGCAUGUAUUGGCACUGGAUAUGGGUGAUCAGGACCAUAACAAAGGAGAGAACGGACAAUGGAUGCACAAUCACUUUUUAUAGAAUCACAAACUUGUUUGAAGCAGAAUAGACUGUUCCAAUGCGCACACAAGCGACGCUGAUCUUUUAUAACAUCAUCAAAACCUCGUAAGACAUGUAGAAACUUGAUCCUACUAGCUUCUACCUUACAUAAGUGCUGCCAACAAGAAUGCACGCGAUACUUUCUCUGCAAAUACCACAAAUUUUUUGUGUCGAGAACAAGAUGAUACGAGUCAGAAAGCUUUUCCCAUAAAUCUUCAAAACUUUUUCCAACAUCCAGUUCAAGAAAGCCCUCAGUACUCAACAAAUAAUUGAUAUAGCCUGGAUCCUGAUCAACAUAUGGAUGGAAAGCUCCCAUAUAGAGAAAAACCAUUUUUAAAUGUUGGGAUAAGUAGUUAUAGCUUGGGAAAAGUACCUCUGAUAUUUGAUUAUAUGCUUUCUCAAAAAGUGAGUUGUGUUGUUUGUAGGCUACCUCAGUCCAGUAUUCUGGGGUCUUGUCGGCUUUUGAUAGGAGCUCUGCAACGGUGACUAUCAUGAGAGGAAGACCUUCACAUUUCUCAGCAAUCUUCUCUCCCAGUUCCUUAAGUUGAGGAGGGAAACCGUCUUCACUAAACACCUUCACACCAAACACCUUCUCACCAAGUAGAUUCUUACUAUCUUCUUCACUCAACAAGCUCAAUCUCAUGCCCCCAUGCUGCUUGUAUGUUAUACGUUGUCUACUUGUAAGUAUGAACUGAAUCCCUCCAAGAGUAUUCUUUUCUGCAGCAAUUUAUCAAGCGAUUUGCUGCUUGUUCCUCCCAAACAUCAUCCAACACGAUGAGGCAUUUCUUAUCCUGCAAUUUUUCUUUCAAUAGUCCAACUAAUUCCUCAUCAUCAUCAUCUCCUUGGGCAAGCAUUCGGUAAGCGUUGGGAUCCACUUGAGCUAGAACGCAGCGUAAUAAUUCAUUGGGUUCGCAUUUUCUGCCCACUUUGACCCAUGCUCGAAACUCAAAAUGACUCCGAAUUGAUGGAUCUUCAAAAAUAUGCUUAGCAAGAGUUGUCUUUCCAACGCCCGCCAUCCCAAUAAUCGAAUAGUGUUUAUCUUCAAGAAGAUUAUCUCUGGCUCUUUGAAAUGCAUAAGAUCUUCCAACCAUAUUUGACUUGAUUCCACCAAAAUCGAUUCUUGAGGAAAUAGGCUCGCCUUCUUCUUCAGCCAUAUUCUCCAUUUCAAUGAUGUACUCCUCCUCCAUCAUCUUCACCAUCUCGACGAAGCAAUCAACAUGGUGUUGCAGACUCUGCAAAUCUACAGAGAAUGACAAGUUGCUUCUCUCGCUUUGGAGUUGUGGAAGAAUCUGAGGUAAGACAUGGGAUUCGAAUAAAUCUUCGAAUUCCCAAACUGCCUCUUUUAUGAGUUCAUCCAAAGCAUUCACCUCCGUCCUGAUCUUGCUGCAGCUGGUCUUGUCCAAUAACCGCAGAACUCUCUGCAAGUAAUCCAUCUGGUCGUACACAAGCUGUAAGAUUUGUGGAGAGUGGGAAAUGAGAGAAAUGCGAGACGAUUGUAGAAUACGCUGAAUCGUAUUCUUGAGAGAAAUCGCCGCACCAUAUGCCGCCAUACCCAAAUUAUCAGCUCAGAAUACGAUUGUUGAAAUGAAAUUGCUUAGCUCUGCAAUUUUCCUCCAAAAUGAAGCUUAAACUAAACUGCAAUUAGCCCAGAAUAAAAUUCAGUCGGCUAACAAAGAAACGGAGAAGAAAAAGAAGGAAUUAUAAUAAGCAAAUUGAGAUGAAACAAAUGAUAGAUCUCAGCUCGCUGCUGUACCUCUCGUGGAGGAGUUGGCGCAAGUCGACGGCAGCGGCAGCUGGUUGUGAUACAAUUUCAGAAACAUUCAAAACACAUUCAAGAAUUUAGUAAAUGAUUUGAAAAGAUGUGUAUAAUGCAAUGGUAAAAUCGAUCUAUUGAUGAUUUUUAUGGCAAUUGUGUGUAAGAAUAGUAGCGAGAAACAAAGCAACCGAAGAUUCUAAUUAUGAAGAUUGAGCAAUCAACCAGUUGAAAAUUAUGAGAGUUGCUUCAAAAUCAACUUUGCUUUUAAUGUUUUUCAACUACCAAAUUAAAUGAAACAGUAUGAGUUCCCCACUCAAAUUAAAUGAAACAGUAUUGAGCAUAUUGGAUUUUUUCCUUUAGCAGUACUAGCAGACAGAACGUGCGUUGCACGUUUAACUAAUGUCAUUUUAUAUGUUGAAAGUUAAAUAUAUAGAUAUUAUUAUAUAGUUUGAAAUAUUUUUAUUAAUUAAUUUAUUCAUGAAAUUGAGUUAUUCAUUUGGCUAUAAUUUAAAUUUUAAAAAGGAAGCAAUAAAUUCCUUAAAUUACUUCUUAGGUGUGAUUGUAAAGUGUUGAUUCUUGUUGUUGAUUAGUGAAGUUGAUCAGAGCUCUGCCGUGGAUGUGGAUCAAAUUGAUCGAACCACGUAAAUCGUGUCUUCUCUAAUUUGUUCUUUGCAUUCUUUAGUUUUUUGAAUUUAUCUUAAAUCUUGGUUUGAGAAGCUGCUGUUUCUCACAACAGUUGGAGAGAAGAUUUUGAAGAGGAGUGAUACAAGAUCUUGGAGAGGUAGGAGGAUGAUCAGACAUGUUUUUCUGCAUCAUGAGAAUCCCCAUGUGUAAAAUUUUCAAACUUUAAGCUGUAAUAUUCUAAAGACAACUAAGAGAAUCCCUUGAUCUCAAUUAACAUACCAAAAGCUUUGUCUAAUUUUAUAAUAUGUGAAAUAAUGCAGUCUUGCAUCCACUUACAAGGAUACAAAUAAAACAAAAAGCAAGCGGAUUUCGUUACCUUGAACCCAACUGAGAGCUAGAGUCGAUAAAAUGGUCGAUUUAGGCACAAUAUAUGGACCAAUAUGUGNNNNNNNNNNNNNNNNNNNNNNNNNNNNNNNNNNNNNNNNNNNNNNNNNNNNNNNNNNNNNNNNNNNNNNNNNNNNNNNNNNNNNNNNNNNNNNNNNNNNNNNNNNNNNNNNNNNNNNNNNNNNNNNNNNNNNNNNNNNNNNNNNNNNNNNNNNNNNNNNNAGUUUAGUAUUUUAUGAGCAAUUAACCCUUUUGUAUUAUUAAAAGUGUCAUUUGCAUACAUUAAAAAAUAUCAUUUGCAUACAUAAAAAGUAUCAUUUAUUUUUAUACAAAAUAUUAUUUCCUUUUAUAAAAAAUUACACAAUGGUUAUCAGGAUACCUCACACAAUUAAAGUCAGAUGAAAGUUGAAACUGCCUACGUGAUUUAAGUAAGUCUCAAAUUAAAGUUGAUACCUCACACAAUUCCUAAACGAUAUAGUUGGAUUAGUAAUGAAAUAUUGUCGUUUCAUUAUAAAAUAAGUCUCAAAUUUUUAUAAUCAUUCCCAUGAUUUAAGGAUGCAGGUUGUGAUUCAAUAUUGUGAAUUCGACAUUCAAUACUUAAGGGUUUGAAAGUUCGCACAAUUGGGAUUUCAAGGUGUAGAUUAGUGAUUGAGUUGUGAGAAUUGAAAAUAUUCAUCGUGUUCAAAAGCCAGGGUAAAAAAAAGGUUUGUGCAUUGUGUUUAAAGUUGUACCCUCUCUGUUCACCAAAAAAAAAAAAGCCUCUCAUUCUAAGGUGAAUACAUGUUUUAAUAAAACUGUUAUAAGAAUUUAUUUUAAUAGGACACUUAAAAAAAAGAGGAAGUAUCUUGUAAGAAUUUGCAUAGUUAAGCCAAUGAGUUGCAAAAAGGAAAAAUAAAUGAGACAAUGGAAUUUAAUAUGUAUAUAGUCAUAGCAAUUUGUAAAUAUUCAUUGAUUAGUAGGUACAUAAUUAAUGGGGCAUGACCGCAUGACACCCAUCAUUGUUGUUUGACAUAAUGUCCAUCCAAUUUAAACUUAAAGAAUGAAAAUUGUACUCCUUCCCUCCGUCCCACGAAUCUUAACACGUUUGAUUUUGACACGAGAAUUAAAGAAUUAUAGAUUAGUAUUUUAAGUGUGUGAUUAAUAAAGUAUAAAAGUGAUAAGGUAAGAUAGAGAAAAUAAUAAAAGUGAUAAAAUAAGAGAGAUAAAGUAAUACUCUCUCCGUCCCUAAAAUAACUUUCUCUUUUUCCAUUUUGGGACGUCCCCCAAAUAACUUCCUCUUUCUUUCUUUCCAUUUUUGGAAACCUACCACACCACUAAUAAUACUUUAUUUAUUCUUACUUUUCACUUUUCACCACUCCCAAUACUAAUUAUAACACUUUUCACAACUCUCAAUAAUAAUUAUAUCAUUUUUUCUCCACUAUCAAUACACUUUACAACUUUUUAUUAAAACCCGUGCCGUCCCCAAAGAGGAAGCCAUUUGAGGGACGGAGGGAGUAAUUAUUACCUUAUUUAGAAAUGUGUCAAAAUUUGUGGAACAAUCCAAAAAAUAAAACGUGUCAAGAUUCAUAGGAAGGAGGGAGUAUUUUUAAAGAUGCACAUCACUCAUUAAAGUAAAAUAUUCACUUUAAAAAUCAUGUAAAAAGAAUGAAAAAAAAGUGUGAAAACACAUGGUUUCCACUAGUUUUCGUAAAGGAAAACGCACCCACCAAUAAAGCUAAUAAUAAAAUAUCAUAUAUAUAAUUAUAUGGGCCCUAGCCCAAGCUUAUCAAUUCCAUGUGUACGUUUUUGCAUUAAUCUAGCAUUCCAAUUAGGAUUUAAAUAAAUUAUAAUUAUAAAUUACUAGUAAAUUUUGAUUAUAAAUUACAUGAAUGACAUUGGCCUCGUAUGUGUCAAUCACUUAAGAGACAAUAAUAUUCUUUGCACUACUCGAGUUUUCAAAAUUACCAAAUAAAUCUCAAAAUCAAUUUAUCGGCUGAGAGCACCAAUAAUACCCUUUCUCGAUUUUUUACUUUAAAAACUUAACUUGAUUUUGAAAAUCAAAUUAUCAAAAUACAGUUAUUUAUACAACGGAAAAGAACAAAGUUGGCACAAUAAUUUUGUUCAUCAAAACUCACACCAAAUUAUAUAUCAUGGUUUUUCUGUAGUUUUCAGCAAUCUUAAUUUUAAACCAUAUAUAAAAAAACACAAACUGAUUACACACAAUAUGAAAACAAAGUUAAAACUAUGCAGAACUCACAAAUAUUACAAUCCUUGAACAAGGGACAAAUGUUUUCACACAAAUCCAACUUACAACAAUUUUGAUUACAAACAAAAUUCAGCACUCAGGUUUCACAAUCCUUGAAUUCAUACGACAAUGUGGCAAUACAACAAUCGAAACUAUGGGAUAACGCGGCGUCUGACCCCUUCGAUCAGCUCUCUCAUUUGCCUGAAAAUCGGUAGAUGGACAAUCUCAAACAUUGUGACUAUAAUAGGAACAUUAAAAUGUGAUAUUGCAAAGAUAUUAGGUAGACCUAUGCAAAUCCUUGUGAUAAUCUAAAUAAUUUAGAAUCGAUCAAACUGCUUGAUAAAAAUAAUGCAAACUCUCAACUUUGAGGGAACAGCCUGUGACUUAAAAUACAAUUUUAAUGUACCAAAUUAAAUAAACAAAUCUUGAUUUCUGCAACUCAUUAAAAUCAAGAGCACAUCAUAUGAGUUAGUAACAUCUACACAAAUGCUUAUGCAGAGCGGAAAAGAGGAACCAAAUUUUACGAGCACGAUAUUAAAUACGAGUUUGGAAAGGCAAUGUAAUUAAUAAAUAUUUUUUAUAGUAUUUUGAUUCGAAUAUUUUGUGAAGCAAUAAUUCUUAAAUUAAAAAAUCCAACGCAGAGAGCAGCUAGAGACUCACCUGCGGCAGCUGGGGAAGCAACUCUCGAUUCAGAAGCAACAUAAGCUAGCCUCAACUGCAAAACGACGACGUACCCUUCACUUGUAAAACAUGUUUUCACACUAAUCCUUCAACAAGGGACUAAUGUUUUCACACUAAUCCAACUUUCAAACAAUUUUGGUUACAAACAAAAUCCUUCCAUCGGCUCUUUCAUUUGCCUGAAAAUCGAUAGAUGGACAAUCUCAAACACUGUGACUAUAACAGAAACAUUAAGACGUAAUAUUGCAAAGUAGUAAGACUAACCUGUUAGGCAAGUUGCAGACUCACUUGACCUCAAAAAGAAGAUUCGAUGACAAGUUGAAAGGAAAACUUGUCUUUUAAUUCAUUGGCACAAGCGACAACUAAAGGAUUGCACUCGACUAAAUUAAUGAUCUCUAUCCAAGAGUGGUCAUACGGCCAAUCGAGCUGUUGUAAUUUGUAGCAAUGCUGCAUGCUUAGUCUACGAAGCUCCGGGAAGCUUCCACGUUGAGGUCUCCAUCGCACCAAAUCGGUGUCUUAAAUUCGAAGUUCAAUAAGUUUCAAAAAACUCCCUGGUGUUAUGUCCCACUCUGGGCCUCGAAAUGCAUAGUCGAGUAAUAUGAGAAUCUCGAGAUUUGGCAGCAGCGAACCAAUGUCAUUCAUGUAAUUCCAAGGAUACCCCCCUAACCCAGACAACAUUAACACCUUGAGAUUUGAUGGAAACAUUGAAAGAGGAAUCGUAUUACACUCAUUCUUUAUCUCGGGAUUGUUAACCCAAUAUUCAAGUCUCUCCAAAUUCUGGAGUUGGGAGAUAUAACCCAAGCAACUCGAUGGGUUUCUUUCAUCAUCAUCAUCAUAAGGCUUCAACUCCACUUCAAUAAUUAAUUUCUUUAAAUUAGGAAUUCUUUUGAGAACUUCCCUUGUACAACUCUUUGCACUCACACCAAUAAGUGAGGUGAGUUUGUGCAAGGUAGCAUCAUCAGUAUUAGGGGUUGGUAGGUCGCUUCCCCAAAUCUGAAUCCCCUCUAGUUGUUGCAGGUUCCAAAUUUGCACAGGCAUAUAAGACUGAACUCCACGCUUUUUAAUGUAAAUAUGUGGAUCGGUAAUCAAGAAUUGAAGAUUAAAAAGGUUGGAUAUGGAAUGAGGGAGCUCCCCGUUGUAUUUUAGGGAAAGGUACCGCAGACAAACAAGUUUUAAAAUUUCAAUUGGGAUAUGGUAAAAUCGAACUCUAAGAGCACAUAGUACUCUAAGCAACUUGAAACCCAUGGCAUGUAUUGGGAUUGGAUAUGGGUGAUAAGGACCAUGACAAAGGAGAGAACGGGCAGUGGAUGCACAAUCACUUUUUAUCGAAUCAUACACUUGUUUGAAGCAGAAUAAACUAUUCCAAUGGGCACACAAGCGACGCUGGUCUUUUAUUACAUCAUCACAACCUCGUAAGACAUGUAGAAACUUGAUCCUACUAGCUUCUACCUUACAUAAGUGCUGCCAACAAGAAUGCACGCGAUACGCUCUAUUUGAAAUACCACAAAUUUUCUGUGUCGAGAACAAGAUGAUACGACUUAGAAAGCUUUUCCAAGAAACCUUCAAAACUUUUUUCAACAUUCAGUUCAAGAAAGCCCUCAGCACUCAAAAGAUAAUUAAUAUCGAAUGGUCUCUGAUCAGCAUAAGGAGGGAAAGCUCCCAUAUAGAGGAAAAACAUUUUUAAAUGUUGGGGUAAGUAGUCAUAGCUUGGGAAAAGUACCUCUGAUAUUUGAUUAUAUGCAUCCUCGAAAAGUGAGUUUUGUUGUUUGUAGGCUACCUCAGUCCAAUAUUCUGGGGUCUUGUCGGCUUUUGAUAGGAGCUCUGCAACUGUGACUAUCAUAAGCGGAAGACCUUCACAUUUCUCAGCAAUCUUCUCUCCCAGUUCCUUAAGUUGAGGAGGGAAACCGUCUUCACUAAACACCUUCUCACCAAACACCUUCUCACCAAGUAGUUUCUUACUAUCUUCUUCAUUCAACAAGCUCAAUAUCAUGCCCCCAUGCUGCUUGUAUGUUAUACGUUGUCUACUUGUAAGUAAGAACUGAAUCCCUCCAAGAGUAUUCUUUUCUCGCAAGCAAUUUGUCAAGCGAUUUGUUGCUUGUACCCCCCAAACAUCAUCCAACACGAUGAGGCAUUUCUUAUCCUGCAAUUUUUCUUUCAAUAGUCCAACUAAUUCCUCAUCAUCAUCUUCUCCUUGGGCAAGCAUUCGGUAAGCGUUGGGAUCCACUUGAGCUAGAACGCAACGUAAUAGUUCAUUGGGUUCGCAUUUUCUACCCACUUUGACCCAUGCUCGAAAGUCAAAAUGGCUCCGAAUUGAUGGAUCUUCAAAAAUAUGUUUAGCAAGAGUUGUCUUUCCAACUCCCGCCAUCCCAACGAGCGAACAAUGUUUAUCUUGAAGAAGAUUAUCUCUGGCUUUUUCAAGUUCAUAAGAUAAUCCAACUAUCUUUGAAUUGAUCAUUCCACCAAAAUCAAUUCUUGAGGAAAUAGGCUCGCCCUCUUCCUCUGGCAUAUUCAACUUUUCAAUGAUGUACUCUAUCUCCAUCAUCUUCACCAUCUCGAUGAAGCAAUCAACAUGGUGUUGCAGACUCUGCAGAUCUACAGAGAAUGACAAGUUGUGUCUCUCGCUUUCGAGUUGUUGAAGAAUCUGAGGUAAGAUAUGGGAUUCGAGUAAAUCUUCGAAUUCCCAAACUGCCUCUUUGAUGAGUUCAUCCGCAGCAUUCACCUUCGUCCUGAUCUUGCUGCAGCUGGUGUCAUCCAAUUUGAGCAGAAUUCUCUGCAAGUGAUCCAUCUGGUCGUAGGCAGGUUGUAAGAUUUGUGGAGAGUGGGAAACGAGAGAAAUGCGAGACGAUUGUAGAAUACGCUGAAUCGUAUUCUUGAGAGAAGCCGCCGCACCAUAAGCCGCCAUACCCAAAUUAUCAGCUGAAUCGAUUCAUAUUCAGUCGCCUAACAAAGAAUUGGAGAAGAAGAAGGAAUUAUAAUAAGCAAAUAGAGAUGAAACAAAUGAUAGAUCUCAGCUCUCUGCUUACCUCUUGGAGGAGUUGGCGCAAGUCAACGGUGGCAGCAGCUGGUUUUGAUACAAAUUCAGAAACAUUCAAUACCACAUUCAAGAACUUUAGUAAAUGAUUUGAAAAGAUGUGUAUAAUGUAAUGCUAAAUGCUAAAGUAAUAAAUUAAAGUUUGAAUAUAAAUUUAAUUCAAAAUCAUUAUUUAUGGGAUAUGAGAAAACUAAUGUUGGAAUGGGCAAAUGGGAUCAAAAGCCAACAGCUCUCAAUACCAGAUCUCGAUGCAAAGCAUGUGGGAAUAGUGAUGGCGUUUCAGACGAUGUUGAGUGUAAUCCAAAUACUCAACAGGGAUUUCAUGUAUUUUAAAUAUGAAGCCAUAAAUUAAUUAGUAUAUUGCCAUAAUCUUAAAAUUUUAAGAUAUAUAUAUAUAUAAAAAAAACACAUAAACUGUUUUCACACAAAUCCAACUUACAACAAUUUUGGUUACAAACACAAUUCAGCACUCAGGUUUCACAAUUUAUGUAAUUUGUGAAUUUAAUAAACUCUGAUCACAAUUUAUGAGUUAUAAAAAAAUAUAUAAAAAAGGAAAAUUGCUAACAUGGACUACACAUUAGCGGUGUUUAUCAUAGGUGCUCAUAAAUUGUGUGCAGUAUAUUGAUCCUCGUAUUUAUAAUAUCCUUAUUUUAAAUUUUUCUAGAUAGUUUUAUAAAUUUAAAAUAACAAGGAAAUAGUUAAGAGUUAUCAUAAUUAAAACAAUAAAAACUAAAAUUAGCAUAGUCGAAAUGAUAAUUAUUAAAAAAAUAUAGGAAACAGAAUAUUAAUCAAUUUUCCUUUUUUUCUAUAUUUUUUUAUAGCCUUCUGAAAACAUAAGAUUAAGUUGACAUUUGAUCUAAUGUUUAUGUGACGAUGUGUCCUUAAAUGUUUUAAAUUGUCAAUUAGUUCUAGAUCAUGACAUUGUUUAAUAUAUUUUGUGAUUACACAAUCAGACUAAUUAAAAGAAUCAUUAAAAAAAAUUCUCAUACCUACUCCAUUGACAUAAUUUUUUUUUGAAGAGACUCCAUUGACAUAAUUAGUAGGUCUAUUUCAUGCUAUAUAUGAAGGAGUCCACGUGUAAUUUAUUAAUGUUGGAUUUAUCAUAUUUUAAUGUGGUCAUGCUUUUUGUGAUUCAUCAUACAAGUACUCCAUUGGCAAAUUAUUCGUAGUGUUUGCAACACAGUUUUUAACUCAGGGUUUUUUAUUUUUUUAUUGAAGGCUCGAAAGAUCAUGAUUAGUUAUGUGGCAAUUAAACUAAUUAAAGAAAUAAAGAACUACUUAAUCUAAUUAUGAAAAAAGAACUUAUUAAAAAUAAUUAAAAUCCAAAAUUAAGGGGUCGAAAUUUAUGAAUUAUUUAGCCUUCUCUUAUUUCUAAUCAUUUAAAUCCAAAUUGAAAUUGAUAGUAAUUUUAUUUCUUACUCGAAAGUGCCAUGGAUUUUGAAUGUCUUCUAAAGAAAUCUAUAUAUAUAUAAAAGCUCAUCCAACUUCACAAUUUUUUUCCCGNAAAAUAUCACUUUUUCAUAUAACAUACGUGUCAAGUUGUUAUUUUAUUUUUGUUUAUAGAAGAUUAAUAAUAGUUCUCUAUGGUGGAAUAUCUAAAGUGCCAUGGGUUUUGAAUGUCUUCUACAGAAAUUGAGUAGAAUUUGAUGCCUUUUAAUAGUGAGGCAUAAUUUAAAAGAUAAAUGAUGGAGUUGGGCCUUAACUUUUUGUAUUGGGCCGAAAUUUUGUUUAUUAUAUGGAGAAGCCCAAUUGAUAGGCAAUGCCGUAAUAGGUUAGCUGAUAAAAAUGCUUUAGAAAUUUUAUGAAUGAUUAAUUAAUCUAAUUCUUUUCUUUUCUUCUUUGACAAUGAGAGCUCUUAAUCAGAUUCACUUCAUAGCUAAAUCAACAACAUUUUUAACCUCACAACUCUUGCAGUUAUUUAUUUACAUUGGAAAAGAACAAACUUAAUUAGCACAAUAAUUUUGUUCAUACAAACUCCCACCAAAUCAUGGCUUUUCUGUAGUCAUCAGCAAAACAACUUUUAAAUUUCAAGAAAUGUAAAAUAAACCUCAAAGAAAUAAAAUAACAAAAGAAGACAACAACAACAUGGGUUCUCAAAAUAAAAUGACAAUAAGACUACUGGAAAAAGCUCAUCCAAGUACUCAACAGGGAUUUCAUGAAUUUUAAAUAUGAAGCCCAGAAAUUAAUUAAUAUAUUGCCAUAAUCUUGAAAUUUUAAACCAUAUAUAAAAAAAAAACACAAACUGAUUACACACAAUAUGAAACAAAGUUAAAACUAAUGCAGAAGUCACAAAUAUUACAAUCCUUGAACAAGGGACAAAUAGUUUUCACACAAAUCCAACUUACAACAAUUUUGAUUACAAACAAAAUUCAGCACUCAGGUUUCACAAUCCUUGAAUUCAUACGACAAUGUGGCAAUACAACAAUCGAAAUUAUGGGAUAACGCGACGUCUGACCCCUUCGAUCAGCUCUCUCAUUUGCCUGAAAAUCGGUAGAUGGAAUCUCAAACAUUGUGACUAUAAUAGGAACAUUAAAAUGUGAUAUUGCAAAGAUAUUAGGUAGACCUAUGCAAAUCCUUGUGAUAAUCUAAAUAAUUUAGAAUCGAUCAAACUGCUUGAUAAAAAUAAUGCAAACUCUCAACUUUGAGGGAACAGCCUGUGACUUAAAAUACAAUUUUAUGUCCAAUAAAAUUAACAUCAAAUCUUGAUUUCAGCAACUCGAUCUAAAAUCAAGAGCACAUCAUAUGAGUUAGUAACAUCUACACAAAUGCUUAUGCAGAGCGGAAAAGAGGAACCAAAUUUUACGAGCACGAUAUUAAAUACGAGUUUGGAAAGGCAAUGUAAUUAAUAAAUAUUUUUUAUAGUAUUUUGAUUCGAAUAUUUUGUGAAGCAAUAAUUCUUAAAUUAAAAAAUCCAACGCAGAGAGCAGCUAGAGACUCACCUGCGGCAGCUGGGGAAGCAACUCUCGAUUCAGAAGCAACAUAAGCUAGCCUCAACUGCAAAACGACGACGUACCCUUCACUUGUAAAACAUGUUUUCACACUAAUCCUUCAACAAGGGACUAAUGUUUUCACACUAAUCCAACUUUCAAACAAUUCAGCACUCGGAUUUUCAUAAUUAAUCAUCAACAAAAUCCUUCCAUCGGCUCUUUCAUUUGCCUGAAAAUCGAUAGAUGGACAAUCUCAAACACUGUGACUAUAACACAAACAUUAAUUAAGACGUAAUAUUGCAAAGUAGUAAGACUAACCUGUUUGGCAAGUUGCAGAGUCACUUGACCUCAAAAAGAACAUCUAACACUAAGUUUAAAGGAAAACUUGUUUUUUAAUUCCUUGGCACAAGCGACAGCUAAAGGAUUGCACUCGUCUAAAUUAAUGAUCUCUAUCCAAGAGUGGUCAUACGGCCAAUCGAGCUGUUGUAAUUUGUAGCAAUGCUUCAUGCCUAGUCUACGAAGCUCCGGGAAGCUUCCAUGUUGAGGUCUCCAUCGCACCAAAUCGGUGUCAUGAAUUCGAAGUUCAAUAAGUUUCAAAAAACUCCCUGGUGUUAUGUCCCACUCUGGGCCUCGAAAUGCAUAGCAGUUUAACAUGAGAAUCUCGAGAUUUGGCAGCAGCGAACCAAUGUCAUUCAUGUAAUUCCAAGGAUACCCCCCUAAACCAGACAACGUUAACACCUUGAGAUUUGAUGGAAACAUUGAAAGAGGAAUCGUAUUA
rnacentral:lncRNA from 1 species